rnacentral:rRNA from 1 species
AUGGCGUCGCAGCCGCCGGGAACCGACGACUCCAUUGCCGACCUCGGCCUCCGGAGGCUGGAGGCCGCCGAUGAGGCCGUAAGGAGGUGGGCAUCUCGGGGCGCGGCCGUCGAGGACAGCCACGGCGUCUCCUACUCGGCUGGUCUUGCGGUGGCGGUCAAGGACCUCAUCUCCCUCCGCUCAGGUGGCGGCCUCUACGCCCGACGCGCCGAAAUCGCCUUACAGGAUGCCAUGGUACACCUUGAGGGCGACUUCCGCCAAGUUCUUGGUUCGGGCACAUAUUUAUACCCCCCAGGCAGUCUCCAAGAGUCACUGCACGGCUGCAUUGCCCCCUUUAUGCGAUCCUUCUCAUAUUCAUCAAUCCCCAACUUGGAAGAUCUCAGCAUCUCCUCAUUUUCCACAAGUACUAGUGAUGAGAGCCGAACAUAUGGUACUGGAUAUAGCAGAGUUUCUGUGUGCAUGGAGAAAGUACACAUGUAUCUGAUUGACCCUGAAGCUUCAAUCUUGCUAAAGGAGAUUGCUGAGCUUAUGAUCCUUGCGGGCCAUGCACCAAACAUGUGUCGUGCUUACGGAGAAACACGCCACAACAUGUUAAUGCAAUGCCUUUCUCUGCUCGGUGUUCAGAUUGAGGAAAAGAGCCAAAAUAACCCAGCAGCAGCAACUGCUAACGGUGCAUGCAGCAUGCAGCUGUAUGAGAAGAAUCAGAAAAUGUGGAUCCAAGCACUCAGAGUCGUUGUCAGCAUAGUCCUCCCUGAAGAACGCCAUGCUUGCGCUCAGAUUUUCGGGUGUGAUUGUAAGCUGGAGGAGGAUUGCUUUGCCGGAGCCAUCACGCGGUGUAUUGGACAAUUGCUCGCAGUUGGAAGUAUGAUGACCAAUGUCAAAGUGAAUGACCAGCAAUAUCAUAAAGUACCCCUACUUCUACAGAUGCAUGAGGAAUUGGUAAAGCUUCAACCAAGUAUAAAUGUCCUCUUGUCUGGUGAUGCCAAGGGUGUGAUUAGUGAGCAGGCCAGUAUGCUUCUCGAUAAGCUUGGAGAAGAACAUCAAGUCUCCUUCUGGAGUUCCUGA